rnacentral:rRNA from 1 species
GACGAACGCUGGCGGCGUGCUUAACACAUGCAAGUCGAACGGAAAGGCCCUGCUUUUGUGGGGUGCUCGAGUGGCGAACGGGUGAGUAACACGUGAGUAACCUGCCCUUGACUGUGGGAGAACUUCAGGAAACUGGGGCGAAUAUCGGGUAGGAGCUCCUGCUGCAUGGUGGGGGUUGGAAAGAUUCGGCGGUGGGGGAUGGACUAGCGGCUUAUCAGCUUGUUGGUGAGGUUGUUGCUUACCAAGGCUUUGACGGGUAGCCGGCCUGAGAGGGUGAACGGCCACAUUGGGACUGAGAGACGGCCCAGACUCCUACGGGAGGCAGCAGUGGGGAAUAUUGCACAAUGGGCGGACGCCUGAUGCAGCAGCGCCGCGUGCGGGAUGACGGCCUUCGGGUUGUAAACCGAUUUCGCCUGUGACGAAGAGUGAGUGACGGUAAUGGGUAAGGAAGCACCGGCUAACUACGUG